CAUGAUGACGACGAUCAUUCUCGUAGUAGGAACGCGCGUGGGCAAGGCGGUGUAACCGCCGGGCGAGAGCACCCCAUGCGCGAAAACAGGCUCCCUCGGGGGCCUUUUUUAUUGGCCGAAA
rnacentral:sRNA from 1 species